UGAUUGUGUCUUGAAGGGGGGGGGGGGUGGGAUGGUAGUGUAGUGUCUUUGGCUAUGCCGGAUUAAGUGAUAUGACAUGCUAUUCUAUAAAAUAAUUUCUCUGUAAUUAAUAUUACCUGAUUAAGCUAAUCAGGUAAAUGUAAUUAACUAGAAAGUCGGGGCACCACGAAAGAAUGUUUAAAGACUCUUAAAGACCUAGUAAUCUUUUACAUCAGUAGCAGUCAAUAUUUAAUCUUCACUUUAUUCAGUCUCAUCUGAAAGUUGUAAAUUCUUGGUUAUCUUUACAACCCCUGGCUAACAAGUUGAAUCAGCAAUACAAAAUUUGGUUUAAUUAUUUGUUUACUAAAUACCUAAAUAAUCACACAGAAUUACAUCUACACAGAAUGGAUCAUACAUUGAUUACAAAUUAUGUCAUAAAGGAAAACGUCCCUAGCGGAAGGAACAGAUAUGACGGCUGGUUACACAAAGAAAGGGGGUUGGGUUUUGAAUGAAAGAGCAGGAAGACUGAGGAACAAAACGAUUUGUGUCACUAUCGGCCCAUAGGCAGCUAUGCUAUCGUAAAUACAGUAUCUUAUGCAUUCUAAAUAACCACACAUUUGAAAAAGGAAAAUGCAAUAAAUAUUUACUCUGAGCUGCGCUUCAGUAGAUUGGUCGUAGAUAGAAGGAGGGGUGGUCCAGCAUGGAUCUCUGGUCCUCUGAAAAAUGUCUAGUGGUGAACUGGAGCGUGGUAGAAUGGAUACUCUGUCCGUUAUCUCCUAGCCCACGUUUACAGUUGCUGCACUAACGCAACGGCUAGGAGGUAUCACUUCUUUAGUGAAUAAGAGUUCAAAAUUCAUACCAAGUUGCCAUACUUUAAGCUCAUGCUAUAUUCUGGCUGGUUUAGUCGAAAUUCAGCCUUCCGGCGUGUGGAUCGUCAUCUUCACGUUGAAAUUCGAUGCUAAUUUCGUUAUGUUCUUGUCGUUCAACCAGAGCUCACGCUGAGAUUGGCUUAGUUUUGGAAGGUGACCUUGUCCUUUUUAACGCGGGGACCGCAAGUCCACACGUCCUUGGAACAGGAAGCUGAAUUUUCAUCAACAGGUUUAUAUAGUGGUGAAAGAAUCGGCGUGUUUCAUAGUUUUACAAUCAAAGUCUGUUCACUUGGGAGUUUCUCUAUGACAAACCGUUCUCUCAUUUAAGAAGGUCAAAUUACAUUUAAUCUUUUCACAAAUAGUUAAAUAUUUAAACAUUUAAAUUGCACAACAAUUCCAUGUGAAUCUGACAACUAGAAAGUAUCGACUUUCCAAGAUACAGUUUAUGUCAUCCUGUCAUCAGUAGUAAUGUCUCAGACAACAACUGAUCUGACAUCAUAUUCAUUAAGUAGCAACACAUAUUUUCAACUGGUUGGAUUACCGAAAUAGGGUUCCGUUUCCCACCUUUUGAUGCUCCCAGACUCUCUAUGUUAACAAAGGGAUUUUCAAUAGUCACAUUGGUAGAGUAGAGAGAGGAAAAGGGGGAAAGGUAUUUAUGGGGGUCAUAAACCUCCCCCAGCAGGCCAACGUCAUGACAGUAGGAAGUAAAAAAUAUUCAAGCACAAUUUAAAUGAGGAUUACACUGAAAAUAAAACAAGGAUUAAAUAAAAACAUGUACCCAGCUACUGGUUCAAUCUCCCAAACCAAUAUGCUGGGUUUAUGUCAAAACCCAACACACUGGGUUGUUUUAACCCAGACAUAUAGUCUAAUUUACUAGCAGCUGGGUCAAGCGCUCAACCCCAGGUGCUGGGUUAGAUGCAUAACCCAACCCCACUGGGUCGAAUUAACCCAAUGCUUUGUUAAUCCAAUAUUGGGUGUCGAAAUUACCCAAAUUUUGUUAUUUUUAUUAACCCAGCAUUUAGUUUGUGUAACAAAUUCACUUUGGAAAAAUUAUAUGAAUUGCCAUUUUAGGCAUAACUCAAAUUCUACCUUUUUUAAGAUGGCAAAAUAAAAUGUUUUUAGUAAUUGUUUCACUCAAAAAGGCAAUAGUUCUGAACUGGGUUUGAUUUCGUAAAAAAAUCUAUAUAUAUAUUACAUUUAGUUAAUUAUCUUUUAAACUUCUAAUGGUUGAAAGAUAUUGCUAAGUUAUCACUUGGCUCAUGUACAAAAUUAUAUAGUUGCUUAUUUAAACAUCUUAUUAAGGUCAACAUCCUCAUAGUGUUCACAUUACUCUCAUGUAAAUGUUGUAGCAGCUGUCGUGAUGUGACUUUUCAUUAAUGUGAAGACUGUUAUAUCAAAUCAAUUAUCUAUGUUUAAUUAUUAUUAUGUGACUAAACUAAUAAUGUAAACAUAAUUAACCAAGAAGUCGGGGCACCACGGGAAAAUGUUGUUUAAAGAGUUACUAUUUCCCAAAUGUAACUCUCUGUAUUCUGAACAUCGUAAUUUCUUGUGGCCUGCACGAGCCCUAUUUUAAUGAUGAAUCAGCAAUACACAAAUUGGCUCAAUUAUUUAUUUACUAACUAAUUAAACAAUUGAAUAAUACACAAAUGCUUCAGAGGUUGUCGGUGUUCUUGUCCUAGGCUACAUAUGUUUCCAGCUGCAGACUAAUAACGCGAUGUCUAGGAUUUGCUUCUUCUGUAGUGAUCGAUAAUUUCAGAGUUUAUACCCAUUUUGCAACAUCUGGCUCGCGCCUUAGUCUGCUUGCUCUAUAGAGCGGUAGAUUUCUCAAUCAUUCGUAAGGUAUUCAGCUGGCGCUGCAUGUAACUGGUCUCAUAUGUAAAUUCUUCAGCGCAUCCUUGUAAACACUAGGGGAAAAGGGCUUUCUAUUAUGGUUUGCAUAAUCUCUGUGCUCACGUGGGCGUGGUUACUGACUUGGUAAACUUUACAUGAAAAAACAUUUUCUCAUUUAUAAGACUCAAAACUGUGCUGUGUGUUUUGGGCUUUCGUGCCCUUGUGGAUUGCGCAGAUGAUUACCGGUCUCGUCCCGUGUGUUAAUCAUUGUGCGCUCGUGUUAUUUAUUCAAGGUACUCCUCGCCCUUUUGUUUGGGUUUCAACUAGAGGUCGAUCGAUUAUGAUUUUUCAACGCCGAUACCGAUAACGAUUAUUGGAGGACCGAAAAAAAGCCAAUACCGAUUAAUCAGCCAAUUUUUAUAUAUAUAUUUGAAAUAAUGACAAUUACAACAAUACUGAAUGAACAAUGAACACUUUUAUUUUAACUUAAUAUAAUACAUCAAUAAAAUCUAUUUAGUCUCAAAUAAAUAAUGAAACAUGUUCAAUUUGGUUUAAAUAAUGCAAAAACAGCGUUGGAGAAGAAAGUAAAAGUGCAAUAUGUGCCAUGAAAAAAAGCUAACGUUUAAGUUCCUUGCUCAGAACAUGUGAAAGCUGGUGGUUCAAUAUUCCUAGUUCUUCAAUAUUCCCAGUUAAGAAGUUAUAGGUUGUAGUUAUUAUAGGAAUUAUGACACGUUGACUGGUUCUCUCUAUACCAUUUGUAUUUAAUAUAACUUUGACAUUUGGAUGUUCUUAUAGGCACUAUAGUAUUGCCAGCCUAAUCUUGGGAGUUAAUAGGCUUGAAGUCAUAAACAGCGCGGUUCUUCAAGCAUUGCUAAGAGCUGCUGGCAAACGCAGUAAAGUUUGAAUGAAUGCUUACGAGCCUGCUGCUGCCUACCACCGCUCAGACUACUCUAUCAAACCAACAGGCCUUCAAGGUCAGGCACUCCCCUUCGGUUAUGUACUUCUAGAAGUUAUCCACAAGAUCAGAUCUCACUGCUCUUACAAUAUUGCUGGAGCCAUUUUUACAUUUUCCAUCCGACUGAAUAAUGCGGCCUACACUUUGCCAUUACUUUCCCCCGAAGUCGUGUCGAAGAAACGGCACCUUCAAUGUACUAUCCGGUACACUGGUUGUAAAACUCCUCCCAGAACUCAGAUAAACAUUCCCCCAGAAUUCCUCCCUCGUCAGUGGACUGUUCGUUCAAAAACUAGGGGUUCAACAAGGGUUCUUCUAAGAUCCUCAAAGUUCUUCGAAGAACCUUAGGGUUCUUGGCACUGAAAAUUUCCCCAAAAAAGGUUCUUCCAAGAACCCCAUAGGAUUGGGGGUCAUCGAGGAACCUCCUUAGUUGGUGGGGGUUCUUGCCGGAACGUAACUGCCCAACUGAAACAUUUGGAUUUUAAUUUGAAAGACAGCAGGUGCAGGCACAUAACUGAAACAUUUAAAGAUCUCCUCAAUUUAGGGUAAGUUUUGUCCCUUGUACAAUCUAAAUUCAUAUUGUUUUAUGAUACCAUCUAUCUUUUCAUAUGUGUUCAAAUCUUUCUAAAACAGAAAAUGGACACAAUUCAGUUGAUAUCAAUCAACAAAGAGGUGUACAGACGAGGAGGCAUACAAAGGAAACCUGUUUGAUCACCAUGCACUGCAAAAUCAUUCUGGCUAUGGAUACGGAGAACAUCAAGACAUUAACAUCAACACGCCAGAGGAUAUAUCCAUUGUACUUGGGCUCUGCUGGGAGUUUACCUCAUAUUUCAAUUUUUUUUUAAUUCUGCUUUGCUACUAAAAUCAUGAUUAACACUGACAACUAAAAUAUUGUGUUAUUGUUGUUAUUGUUAUGCAUAUUAUUAUUAUUAUUAAUAAUCUGUACCAUCCUAUUAAUAAUAAUAAUAGGGGAGGGGCGGUAGUUAAAAAAUGAAUGCCAAAAGUUUCUUCAAAAGGUUCCUUGAUAAUCCAUUAAAAUGGAUUAUUUGAAAAACCAUUUUAAAUGGCAGCAUCAUGUUGUGGGGGUGCUUUGCUGCAGGAGGGACUGGUCUCAGCCUCUAGUAUUUAUGAUGCAGUAGUUUAUGUGUCGGGGGGCUAGGGUCAGUUUGUUAUAUCUGGAGUAUUUCUCCUGUCUUAUCCGGUGUCCUGUGUGAAUUUAAGUAUGCUCUCUCUAAUUCUCUCUUUCUUUCUCUCUCUCUGAGAACCUGAGCCCUAGGACCAUGCCUCAGAACUACCUGGCAUGAUGACUCCUUUCUGUCCCCAGUCCACCUGGCCAUGCUGCUGCUCCAGUUUCAACUGUUCUGCCUGUGAUUAUUAUUAUUUGACCAUCUUGGCCAUGUUCUGUUAUAAUCUCCACCCGGCACAGCCAGAAGAGGACUGGCCACCCCUCAUAGCCUGGUUCCUCUCUAGGUUUCUUCCUAGGUUUUGUCCUUUCUAGGGAGUUUUUCCUAGCCACCGUGCUUCUACACCUGCAUUGCUUGCUGUUUGGGGUUUUAGGCUGGGUUUCUGUACAGCGCUUUGAGAUAUCAGCUAAUGUACGAAGGGUGAUAUAAAUACAUUUGAUUUGAUUUGCACUUCACAAAAUAGAUGGCAUCAUGAGGAAAGACAAUUAUGUGGAUAUAUUGAAGUUAAAGCUUGGUCGCACAUGGGUCUUCCAAAUGGACAAUGACCCCAAGCACACUUCCAAAGUUGUAGCAAAAUGGACAGGAAAGUGUCAGGAUUUGGCCAGGGUUGUUCCGGUUUUUGGUCACUAGAUGCCCCCAUUGUGCCUUUUGACCUUUUGUUUUCCCUUGAUCCCCAUUAUUAUUUGCACCUGUGCCUCGUUUCCCCUGAUUGUAUUUAAACCCUUUGUUUUCCUCAGUACUUUGCUCUGUGUUUGUAUGUUAGCACCCAGCCCUAGUACUCUGUGUACUCUUGUUGAUCCCGGUGGACUCUCUUGUGGAAUUCUGUUUUUUGUUCUUGUUUGUUUGUUUUGAGUAUUUUUUGAGGCUUUUUGUGCUAUACCUUCCACCUUGUGGAUUUACCUAUUUGUCUUGGAGGAUUACCUGUGGAAUUCCUUUUGAAGUUGUGGAGUUACAUGUUUUCCUGAAGAACUUCAUUUUUUACUUCAUUAAAUACAUCGUCUCAAGUACUGCUGUGUCUGCCUCAUCUUCUGGGUUCUGCCAACUAUUCGUGGCUCAGUUGGUUAAGUGACUGUUUCUCACUCCGGAGACCCGGGUUCGUAACCGGGUCCUGACAGAAAGUCAAGGUAUUGAGUCGCCAUCACAAAGCCCUCACCAGCUCUGUCAGGAGGAAUGGGCCAAAAUGUACCCAGCCUGUGGAAGGCUACCCGAAACGUUUGACCCAAGUUAAACAAUUUAAAGGCAAUGCUACCAAAUACUAAUUGAGUGUACUGUAUGUAAACUAGGAAUGUGAUGAAAGAAAUAAAAGCUGAAAUAAAUAA